AUUGAACGCUGGCGGAAUGCUUUACACAUGCAAGUCGAAUGGCAGCACGGGGGCAACCCUGGUGGCGAGUGGCGAACGGGUGAGUAAUACAUCGGAACGUGCCCAGUCGUGGGGGAUAACGUAGCGAAAGUUACGCUAAUACCGCAUACGAUCUACGGAUGAAAGCGGGGGACCGUAAGGCCUCGCGCGAUUGGAGCGGCGGAUGUCAGAUUAGGUAGUUGGUGAGGUAAAGGCUCACAAAGCCGACGAUCGGUAGCUGGUCUGAGAGGACGACCAGCCACACUGGGACUGAGACACGGCCCAGACUCCUACGGGAGGCAGCAGUGGGGAAUUUUGGACAAUGGGCGCAAGCCUGAUCCAGCCAUUCCGCGUGCAGGACGAAGGCCUUCGGGUUGUAAACUGCUUUUGUACGGAACGAAAGGGCUCUGGUUAAUACCUGGGGCUCAUGACGGUACCGUAAGAAUAAGCACCGGCUAACUACGUGCCAGCCGCCGCAGUAA
rnacentral:rRNA from 1 species